GUGUCAGCAGCCGCGGUAAUACAGAGGGGGCGAGCGUUAUUCGGAAUUAUUGGGCGUAAAGGGCGCGUAGGCGGCUGGGCAAGUCCAAGGUGAAAUCCCUCGGCUCAACCGAGGAACUGCCUUGGAAACUGCCCGGCUUGAGGCCGGGAGAGGGUAGUGGAAUUCCCAGUGUAGCGGUGAAAUGCGUAGAUAUUGGGAGGAACACCGGUGGCGAAGGCGGCUACCUGGACCGGUUCUGACGCUGAUGCGCGAAAGCGUGGGGAGCAAACAGGAUUAGAAACCCUGGUAGUCC
rnacentral:rRNA from 1 species